AAAACGACCAACCAACGACCUCGCUUCGGCCAUCUUGGCAUCUUCAUCUUGGCGACCUUGCCUUGCCGUGGAUUGUUUUUAGUUGUUUGUAUUAUUUGUGCUUUUUAAGAAUAUUUUUUUAAUUCGGAUACUUUUAUAAUAGCUUUAAUAGUAUUAUUAACAUAGUGCAUAAAAUGGUGUCCUGUUUUUAACGCAGUUGGAGUAGCAGAAACAAAUGUAGAUAAAAAAAUCUGCAGGAAUAACGUUUCAAUUAUGACAGAAGCUCCAAACAAAUGACUGAAUGAAAAGCCCUAUUAAAAGCUUUCCAGAAGAUCCUGCGAAGAAGACAUGAAGUAUAGAUCAGAUUUGUUAAUAGAGGAGUAUGUUCAAAACACUUUUUAGAAAAAGAUAUUGACAGAACUUCACUUUCAUCUGUUCGUUUGAGAGACUGUGCUGUUCCAAUAGCUUAUGUCACACAGGAAAGACCAAGACCAGACCAAGGAAAAGCUGGAACACUAGUGUAAACGAAAUACUCAAGAAAAGAGGAACAUCGUGGCAAGAAGCAAAAGUUUUAGCAGCAGAUAGGAAGAAGUGGCGUAAAUUUGCAGAGAGUAUUAUAUAAAGGAGGAAUCCUCGACACCUAAUAUGGUAAAAGAGGCAACCGAUUAUAAUCAGCUGAGAGAAGUGGUCUACAAAAAACCAGAAAGGAAACGGAAUAUGUGGCUACGAAAAGCAAAAGAAAGGUUUACAAAGCAAAUGUGACACAUUUUUUUAUAAUAUUUAGGAAUGUCAGCAAAUUACAUUAAAAAAUGUAUGUAAAGAUUUUUUGCAAUAAAAAUGUUUAUAUUUA
rnacentral:lncRNA from 1 species